rnacentral:rRNA from 1 species
CAAUAGCGUAUAUUAAAGUUGUUGCGGUUAAAAAGCUCGUAGUUGGAUUUCUGUUGGGAACGACCGGUCCGCCCAUUGGGUGUGUAUCUGGCUUGUUCUCGGCAUCUUCUUGGUGAACGUUGCUGCACUUGACUGUGUGGAGCGCUACCCAGGACUUUUACUUUGAGGAAAUUAGAGUGUUUCAAGCAGGCAUAUGCCUUGAAUACAUUAGCAUGGAAUAAUAAGAUAGGACCUCGGUUCUAUUUUGUUGGUUUCUAGAGCUGAGGUAAUGAUUAAUAGGGAUAGUUGGGGGCAUUCGUAUUUAACUGACAGAGGUGAAAUUCUUGGAUUUGUUAAAGACGGACUACUGCGAAAGCAUUUGCCAAGGAUGUUUUCAUUGA